UUGGUGCCCACUCAAAGUUACCAAGUUCUGGGGGAAGUUGGGUCAAGCUGAGUUUUCAUCAUGGGACCACAGUUAUUAGCACAGCAGAAACAUUAUAUGAAAGUAUUAAAACAGUUACUUAAGGCUAGCGGAGCCUCAGUUUCACAGGCUCAAUUAAGGGACCUAAUCAUCCAUGCUAGACAAACUGUUGCAAUGCAAACUCUUGUGAUCCCAAGCCCGUGGUUCCCGGAAGAAGGAACGCUAGACGUAGAACUCUGGGAACAAAUGGGGAGAAAUCUUAACAUGUGCAAAGGCAACAGGUCCCAGUAACAGCUUUAACGUUAUAGGCUUUAAUUAGAGCAGCCUUAGCUCUGUUACACGCAGAAGAGCCUAAAAAGAGCAAGGAGGAGAAAAUGUCACCUGCCUUAUCACCUCCUCUUCCCUCCACCCUAAUAUCACCGGGCCGAAAUAACAGAGGAAACGGGGGUUUAUACCUGAGCCUCCUCCUCCAAUAGAUAGGAAAAAAGACCUAGGAUAUGCUACAGCUAUCAGUCCCUGUCUUAAGCGGGCAGCAUUAGAAGCAGAGCUCUUACUCUGCCCAGUAAUGCAGAAUCGGCAAGGCAAUCAGGUGUAUGUUUAUAAAAAGAUAAGAAAAAAGGCAUUAGGAGCCGAAAGCCGUGCAGCCGAGCAAGCAGUAAAUAAAAAGAAAGGCUCGGCAGCCCGGAAGUUCACAGAAACAGAGCCAGCACAGGCAAAAGGCAGCGCUUUUACAAGAGUAAAACAGCUACCGCCCAGGGACCCGCCGGCUCAGCUCUCUAGCUCUGCAGGUGACCCAAGGCAAGUGCUCCUUGUUUACAAGCGACAUCCCAGAUUAUAAUUCUCUGCUAAAAUUUAAGUAAAAUGUAAGAAUUUGAAAAACCUCUUUUCUGAUAAUGGCCACUGUUGCUCUCUCUCUCCUACCCCUGACGUAGCUCUCCAAAUCCAAUUUAGGUAAAACAGUAACCUCUGAAGGGAGAGAGAUUACAGAAGGCCGAUGAAUUAGUUAAAGAGUAGUUAAAAGCUAGGCAUGUAAAACCACACAUUACCCUUUAAAGGAGAACUUUAAACCUAACUAAAUCAUAUUUGUUAAAUUAGAAGAAAAGUUGUAUGUAAGUGUAGUGAAAGCAUAUGCAUGAAUGACUGUCGUAACCCACUGAUUAGAUAGUCUUUUGAUUUCUACUUGCUAAAAGAGUCCUGAAUUCAGUUUCCCAACUACUGGGUCACUGUUUUCAAGACUGUUGGCCAGAUUAAAGUCCAUAAACUUGAUCAGCUUGAAAACUCAAUUGCAAGAUUUAAGCUGUUCUGCCUGUGGCUUUAAGCACAUGGUUAAAGUAUAUUAUUUAAGUUUCUGCUUCUAGAGAUGCUUUCAGAUUUUCUUUUUAAAUUUCAUGUUACUUAUUUCAACUUGCCAUCUUAAUGAUUAAUGCAGUCAAUUGCUAAGUUAUAACCCUGAUAUCAUCAGGAUUCCUUUAAGUAAAAGGUAAUUCGAAGCGGUAUUGCACUUCCCCAUACCUAAUGCUUUAACACUGUUUACUGAUGGGUCUGGUAAACAUGGAAAAGCGGCAGUCUAGUAGAGACCACACAAUUCCAUCACUCAGAGUUUACUAGCACUCAGAGAGCUGAGGUUACUCUGUUUAUUUAUUAAAGAACUUUUACAGCAUGAAGUUAGCUCUGGAGACCACUCUGUGUGCUCUUUUUCUCCGACUUCAGCAAUUGCUACACCAACGUACACAUCCUGUUUUUAUUACACACAUUCGAGCCCACAGCUCUCUGCCUGGCCCAUUGGCUUAUGGCAAUGAUCAAGCAGCUCUUCAGGUUGUAACAUCACUGCUAGACCAAGCCACCCAAUUGCAUCAAUUUUUCUACUAAAAUUAGAGAAACUCAUCUUAAACAACUUCAACUUAUACAGAGAUUGGCUAAACAAAUUAUCUGACGGUGCCCAGAUUGCCAGCUCACAGGCACAGCCCCUCUUUCAACAGGUGUUAACCCUAGAGGAUUGGAACCUAAUCAGUUGUGGCAAACAGAUGUUACAUCCCUAAAUUUGGGAAACUAAGAUAUAUACAUGUAUCCGUUAAUACCAACACUCACCUAAUUAGUGCACAUUAAAAAGAGAAAUAAAGGGAAAGAAUGAGUAAGAAAGAGACUAGAAAAGACAGAUCAGAGACAGACACAAAAAGACUAAGGAGAGAAAGUAGGAAGAAAGGAAAGAAAUAUUAAAGUUACAGAUAUAAGAAUGCACCUUUAGUAAGGAAGGUUAUAAAACAUAGUCAGAAAGUUAAGCCAUGUUAAAGAUUGUCUGUGAAAGUUGUGAAGAAUGUUAUGAAAAGGAAUUUAUGCAGGAAAUAUAUAAUUUUUGUUUUGAAGGUCUAAACAAGUUUUAAAACGUUAAUUGUAAAAAAAAUUCUGUGUGUAAACAUAUUGGCUAAAAUAAAAAAGGUAUCAUCCAGUUUUUCUGUAAACUAGACAUUAAAGUACAACAAGUUUUUCUUAAAACACUAACCUGCUCUUUAAAGACUGUAAAAAGUCUCUCAGCACAGGCACCACCCCUAGAAUUUCCAGUACACCAGCACCAGCCUGGAGACUACAUUCUUAUCAAAGGAUGGAAAGAAGAAAAAACUCAAGCCAGCCUGAGAAAAGACAUACAGGACCCGCAGCCUCAACAAUGUGGCUUCCGAAGACAACACAGGUCCCAGGCAUUAUGCUAAAGAAGGAAAAGUCUAAGCCAGAUAAUUUAUUCAUUUUAAAUUCUCUCACUUUACCUACUACCUAUACCUGCUACACUCUAUUAAGCUCAUCCCUUAAAUCUGCCUUUUUUCAGUCCUAUCAUCUAGGCAGACACUCCCUUUCCAGCUUCUAACAAUAUCUACGUGUCAAUGUAUGUUUUAUUCUUCUGUCAUUUGGGUCAGGGUCUGAGGGCAGACCCCUGCAGCUAAUGCCCUCAAGUGUGAGGAGCAAUACCUCAGAAAACUAUCCCAAAACCUACUUUACUCCACCUGUUGCUACUUUUCUGAGGAAAAAGUACUGAGUAAUUAUGAUGAACUGUCACUUAAAAAGUCAAGUUUGGUUGAAUUAUAUACAUCUACUUUAGCAUUAUGCUUAUGAAUAUUAACAUCUGAAGCAAAAUGCAUAUAUGUUGUUAAUUAUAAUUAUAAACAUAAAGCAUUGUGAUGUAAAUCUACACUUACGGGAAAUGAUCAUUACAAAGCAAAAAGGCAGGAACCGAAAACCAUGGGACUGAUAGCAAAACAUCCUUUCUGAAAAUUAGGGGAAUUCUAACUAUUUAUGUACAGUUAACAUUGCACGCAGCCAGACUUCUUUGUAGGAUACUAAUUUAGAGUAAUCACUAAACCCUAUUAAUGUGCUAAUUUUAGUUUAUUAAAACAAAUUUUCAGUAAUCCUUAAUAACUCACAGACAAUUAGGUUUGGGAGACAACUAGUUUGGGAGGAGGAAGUCAGAGCCAACUAAGAAUUCCUGAAAAAAUAACAAGAGCAACUCUGUAUUUAUAAUUUAAAAUUCUUUGUGAAAUUUCCACUGCCUAUUUUCUUGAAAUUAUGUUUUACAUAUCCGUGUUUCUCCUUACCAGUCUCUCUCGUUAAAUCAUGGAAUUUGAGUGUCUGUUCAUUUAUUUAUUUUUUUUACUUUUCAUUGGUGUAUUAUAUUUACUAAGUUAACACAUUUUAAAUGUACAGUUGAAAGAAUUUUUACAUACUCCCCGUGUAACUCCUGUGUUAACCAUCUAUAAGAGAAACACAGAUGUGUAAAACGUAAUAUCAACAUACAGAAUAUAUCCAGUAACCCAAAGUCUCCCUAUGCCUCCUUCCAAUCAACAUUUCUUCAAAGGUAGGCAGUAUUUUUUUUUUUUUUUUUUUUGAGAUGGAGUCUCAUUCUGUCGCCCAGGCUGGAGUGCAGUGGCGCUAUCUCGGCUCACUGCAAGCUCCACCUCCCGGGUUCACGCCAUUCUCCUACCUCAGCCUCCCGAGUAGCUGGGACUACAGGCGCCCAGUAGACAGUAUUUUUAUCUCUGUCACCAUUAGUUUUUUCCUGUUCUGGGUGUCAUAAUAAUGGAAUCAGAGAGUAUGUUUUCUUCAUGUCAGCUUGUCUCACUCAACAUUAUGUCUCUGAAAUUCCUCCAUGUGUUGCCACUUUGUAGCAGUGGCUCAUUUUUUUCUGUGUAGUAUUACUUUGUAUGAAUAUGCCAGAAUUUAUCAAUUCAACUACUGAUGAAUUUUUUUCAUUCCUUUGGUAAAUAUGAAUAGUUACUAUGGAUAUUCUUAUAGGUGUUUUUGGUAGACAUAUGCACUCAUGUCUCUUGACUAUAGUCCAAGCAAUGGAAUUGUUGGGUCAUAGGAUAGGUGUUUGUUUAGCUGCAGUAAAUUCUGCUAGUUUUCCAAAGUAAUUGGGCGUAUUUAGACUCCUACCAGCAAUGAUGAAAGUUCUGUUUCUCCAUACCUUUAGUAUUGCCCAUACUUUUAAUUGUAGUCUAUCUGGUGUGUAGGAAGUAGUAUGUUAUUGUUUUUUUUAAACUAGCUCAUUGAGAUAUAACAUAUAUAUAUAAAAUAAACCGCAUAUAUUUAAAGUAUACAAAUUGAUUUUUUUUUUUUUUUUGAGACGGAGUCUCACACUCUAGCCCAGCCUGGAGUGCAGUGGCGCUUGGCUCACUGCAAGCUCUGCCUCCCGGGUUUAUGCCAUCCUCCUGCCUCAGCCUCCCGAGUAGCUGGGACUACAGGUGCCUGCCACCACGCCUGGCUAAUUUUUUGUAUUUUUAAUAGAGAUGGGGUUUCACCGUGUUAGCCAGGAUGGUCUCGAUCUCCUGACCUCGUGAUCUGCCCGCUUCGGCCUCCCAAAGUGCUGGGAUUACAAGCAUGAGCCACCGCGCCCGGCCACAAAUUGAUGUUUUAAAAUAUGUAUACACACCUGAAAUGAUCACCACCAAAACAAUGAACAUACCCAUUAUCUCCAAAAGUUUUCUGUGCCCCUUUGUAAUUCCUCCCUUUCUUUAGCCUCACUCCCCCAUUCCCAAGCAGCCACUGAUAUGCUUUCCGUGAUGAUAGUUUGCAUUUUCUAGUUUUAAAUAAACAGAAUCACAUAGUAUCUACUCUUUGUUGUCUAGCUUAACUCUGCAUAAUUAUUUUAAGAUUCACCCAUGUCAUUGCAUGUAUCAAAAGUCCAUUUUUUUGCUGAGUACUAUUCCAUUGUACAGCUGUACUACAAUUUGUUAUUCCAGUCAUCUGUUGAUGGACAUUUGGUUUGUUUCCAUUUUGGGGCUAUUACAAAUAAAGCUGUUACAAAC
rnacentral:lncRNA from 10 species